GACGAACGCUGGCGGCGUGCUUAACACGUGCAAGUCGAACGGAAAGGCCUGUCCUUCCUUGUGUUGGACGGGUACUCGAGUGGCGAACGGGUGAGUAACACGUGAGUGAUCUGCCCCCAACUUGGGUAUAAGCCUGGGAAACUGGGUCUAAUUCCCGAUAGGACUGCAGGGUGGUGCCUGUGGUGGAAAACGAUUUUCUAGUGGUUGGGGAUGAGCUCGCGGCCUAUCAGCUUGUUGGUGGGGUAAUGGCCUACCAAGGCGGCGACGGGUAGCCGGCCUGAGAGGGUGGACGGCCACAUUGGGACUGAGAUACGGCCCAGACUCCUACGGGAGGCAGCAGUGGGGAAUAUUGCACAAUGGGCGGAAGCCUGAUGCAGCGACGCCGCGUGGGGGAUGACGGCCUUCGGGUUGUAAACUCCUUUCGACCGCGAGGAGGCCGCCUGGUUGGAAGGGUGGUGACGGUAGUGGUAGAAGAAGCACCGGCUAACUACGUG
rnacentral:rRNA from 1 species